rnacentral:lncRNA from 10 species
GGACCGUCCAGUCCAAGGCGCCGCGGCUUCCGCCCGGGAGGCGGGCUGGUCCCAAACGAGGUCGUGCGCGCUUCCUGCGAUGGUUUUUUGCUGUCCCCGUCUGGCCCCAGCUGUAGCAGGCCAGGGACAUGGGGCUGGGCCCUGGACAGGGUGGUGAGGACAUCCCGGUUCCCACGAAAAGCAACCGCCUGGCAAGUCUGGAGCAGGCGAAGAGGGAGUGAGGGGGUGUGGCUCGCUCCCCAAGUUCUUUGGCUCAGCUUCAGUGCUGGGUCAUUCUUGGGGACUGCUAUGCCCACUGGGCACUGCAGAACUUCUGGUGCGUGUGGCUAAGGGGAGUCGGGAAGAGCCCUGUCCCUGGACCAGACCUUCCUGUUGGGAGUACUGGGACCCAGUGACCUUGUGCACCUUUCCUGAAGCUUCUGGGCCCCAAGUGGUCGAAUGCAGAGUGGGCUGGGGAGUCACAGACUGUGCUUCCUGCUUUCAACCUCCGUUCCAGGUUCCUGUGCGUUCCGUGGGCCCAUCCACCUGGCUGGGCUUGGCUAGGCUGUGACCUUCUCUGAGGACAGGGCUCUGCCUGCAUUUGGAGCUGCUGGGACCUCAGUGUCACCCCCCACUCUCGCCAGCUGGCCUCACAAAGGUGCCCAGGAGGAGACCUGAUUGCCGACUCCUUUCCCCUCCCUGGCUGAGCAGAUUCUACAACAGCCUGUGGAAAUUAAAAUAAGAGCUUAAAACUGUCAAAAAAAUUUUUUUUAACCAAGUCACAAAUGGGAAAGCUGAGGCGGCAGCAGGUUAAGGACACUUUGUGAUGUAGCGUUCUCUCCCAGUGCUUUCGUACUGUAAACAUCACAGUCCACGGUCCCUGUGAACAGGCAGCCACAGAGACUGGGUUUAGACUUGCCGGGGAAGGCUGCAUCCAAAGUGGGGCCAGCUCAGAACUAUUCCACCACAUGGGGGGCCAUUAGUUCUGCUCAGUUCUGUGGGGCCUCACUAGUGUUUCUAUUUAAAAAUAAGUCAAGGUAAAAGAAAAAGUUUCAAAAUGUAACAGUCACGUAUCUAUUUCUGUAAUUGUAAAGAAAUACACUGUCAUGUGACGGCUGGAGGCUCUGGAGCAGAGGGCCUAGGAGGAAUUUUUUUUCUUUUUCUUUUUCUUUCCUGAAUUCUCCAAACCGUCUAUCACAGUGUGUAUUGCUUUUAUAACGGGAAGAGAUAAAAUAGACUUACAUUAAAAAUAAUCAAACUGCACCUGUGCCUACAUGUCAAAUGAUAAACGUGACAAUCAAAGGCACUUUUUAUUUAUCGAAUACCUGGUUCAUGCCACAUCUCCUGCUAGGCCCUCCCAGCGUGCUGGCUCCUCAGAACACCCUGCAGGUGGGAGCUGGGCACCAGGGUCCCUGAGGCAGCAUUCAGCACCCACGUGGCAGAGCCAAGGCUGGACAGGGAUGAUUCCAACAUCCAGGAUUGUAUUAUGCUUAUAACGACUUCCUGCCUGUUUGUAUUUAAGACAAGGUCUCUCACUGCAGCUUUGACCUCCCGGGCUUGAGCAGUCUUCCCACCUCAGCCUCUGGAGUAGCUGGGAGUUACAGGUGCACACCCCCAUGCUUGGC